UUUGGGGGAUACCGUUUCUUCGGUGCUGCUCCAGAUCUCUGCGUUCUGUCGGGCCAUUUGCCAGCCAUUCUUGAAAGUAAUGGCCCUCUGGGAGUCCCGCGGGACGUCCAAAUGCUGUCUAAGAGUUCCAAUAACAGGAAUACAUCCAGAGGAGGGAUGCCAAAUGGAGGAAAGGAUUGGAAAAGAGGAAGACACCUGUCACUUUUGAUCCAGUUCAAUGAGAUACAAUGAAUCGAGCCAAGUCUCCUUUGCGUUUUGGUGGAGAAGAGAGACUACAUAACCACCCAGUCUACAGUAUACGAUCACUAUGUGAGUAUAUAAAUCAGUAUACGAUAUGGUAGAAAAACCACUGCACUCUCCGAUCUUUAGUAAAAUUCUGUGCGGUG